CUUGUUAUGGAUCAAUUUCUUAGGGCCCAAUUCUGCUCUCAUUCAAAUCAAUGAGAGUUCUACCAUUGACUUAACUGGGAGCACAAUUGGGACCUAAGACGGAAUUCCUAAGUUCUGG
rnacentral:precursor_RNA from 15 species